rnacentral:tRNA from 1 species
GCGGUUCUGGCUCAAUUGGUUAGAGCAGCCGACUUCUAAUCGGCGGGUUCCGGGUUCGAGUCCCGGGGACCGUA